AGUGAACGCUGGCGGCGUGCCUAAUACAUGCAAGUCGAACGGAGUGGCGCACGGGUGAGUAAUAUAUAGCUAAUCUGCCCCUUGCUGGAGGACAACAGUUAGAAAUGACUGCUAAUACUCCAUAGAAAGGAAUGAGACUAUACCGUAUCAGCUAGUCGGUGGGGUAACGGCCUACCGAGGCUAUGACGCGUAACUGGUCUGAGAGGAUGAUCAGUCACAUUGGAACUGAGACACGGUCCAAACUACUACGGGAGGCAGCAGUAGGGAAUAUAGCGCAAUGGGGGAAACCCUGACGCAGAAACGCCGCGUGGAGGAUGACACUUUUCGGAGCGUAAACUCCUUGUGUUAGGGAAGCGGUACCUAACGAAUAAGCACCGGCUAACACCAUGCCAGCAGCCACAGUAAUUC
rnacentral:rRNA from 1 species